GGGUUCAAACCAUUCAGUUCAGUCUUUGGAUCAAAGUCUGCAGAAUCCAGACAUUUCAUCAGAAUUGCUAGGCAUAAGGUUAGAGGAAUCCAAUCUUUGACCACACAGUCUGAAUUCUGCUGAGAGGAGAGGAAGUGAACUGGUAGGACAAACUGUCUCAAGUGCUCACUGCUGAAUCCAGAUCUCUGGGGAGGUGGAAUUCUCAACCUGGAGGAGAAGAAGAGGAAGAGGAAGAGGAAGAAGAAGACGAUGAUGAGGAUGAAGAUAAGGAGGAGGAGGAGAAAAAGAAGAAGAAAAGAAGAUGGAGAAGAAAGAGGGGGAAGAUGAGUAGGGUGAGGAAGAGGAGGCCAGCAUGGAGUGGGGGCAGGAGCCUUCUAGAGGAGGCCAGCAUUUGCUAUGCCAGAUUCCCACGCUGCCAUACUCUCUGGGAGACCUCCUACCAUGUGGCCUUGGGACUACCUAGCAGAAAACAAGAAGGAGUCAGGUUCAGAGAAGACUGUAGCCAGGGGAAUCCAGGUUAUAAAUAUGGUAGUGGUGGGAGUGGAGUUGAAAUCACUUUCCCUUUGAAUCUGGUGGCUCAUAUGACCAGUUGAAGAGGGUUGAGAAACUAAAGAAGCAGAUGUGAAUACACUCAGAAACAAAGCUUAGGAAGGUAGUAUUCUUGGACAGCAGAGUGUAUGAGACUUUUGGAGGCAUGGCUCUCCUGCCCUGCAGGUAGAAUUUUUGCUAGGUCCUGAGAUCCAGACUCCCAGCAUCUGGCUGGCCCUAGGCAUCUGUGGAUCUAAUCUCUCCAGAGCAGACAGCACCCAGCAAAGCCCCUAAGGCCUGAUUAGAACCAAACCCCAACCACCAGACCCUCCUUCUUAGAUCUGCAGCAGACCCACCCUGAGAGUGCAUCAAUCUAGUCUAUUCAGACAAAACUCCUAUCAACAGUAUUUCCCAUCCAAUCCAUCCUACCUUGAAAAGGGAAGCAGAGAGCUCUUUCAAUCAGCUGCAUUAUAGCCCAGGGAGCAACAACACAAAAAGAGGAAGGGAUGAACAACCCUCAGCCUUCUACCCUAUCUCCUCCCUCUCUCUCUCUCUCUCUCUCUCUCUCUCUCUCUCUCUCUCUCCCUCUACCUCUACCUCUCUCUCAGUAAAUAACCAGAGGAAAAAUGGAAAGGGACAACUGUCCAUAGGCAGUGACCAUCCAUCCUCAACCACAGAUUUGACCAUCUAGUGGAGACAAUUCUUUCAUUUUCAUUAAGAAUUUUUCCCUUUGUAUUGGGAGGGGCUGACACGGUGUUCUUGCUAUGCUGAUUGGUUCAUAUAUUUAUAUGUAUACACAUAUUUGUUCCUUUUUUCUCACUUUUAGCAUUCUUAACAAUUUUUUUCCUUGUCUUUUAAAAGUUGGGGUUUUGUUUGUUUCUCUUAUUUUUCUUUCUCUCCUUUCUUCUCCCUCUAACAAAUUAUCUGAUUCUUUCUUACUCUCCUUUUUUCCCAAUUUUCUCCAUUUUACAGCCAUCACUUGCCAUAUCUCAUAUAUUCUCUCUGUUCAUAAUUUGAACAUUCCAAACUUUCUUUUACUUUCCUAUUACAUUUUAUUGUCUCUUAAUGAACCGUAUUUUUAACCAUCUUUUAGAAUUAGUUAUUCAUAUGUAAAAGAAUGAAUCUAGACCUUAUCUCUUUUCAUGCCCCAAAGUCAACUCAAAAUGGAGCAGAGACCUAGGAAUUGGACCCAAAACUAUGCAACUCCUUAAAAAACAAAACAAAACAAAACAAAACAAAACAUAGGGGUAAUACUCAAACAUACAGGCAGAGGCAAGAACUUUCUCAAUAGAACCACUAAAGUUCAGGAAAUAAUGUCAAGAAGUUAAUAAAUGAGAUGGCACAAACUUUUAAAGCUUCUGCACAGCAAAAGAAACAAUUAAGAAUGUGAAAAGAGAACAUACAGACUGGGAGAAAAUUUUUGUUAGCUACUUUUCUGACAGGAUUAAUAUCCUAAAUAUAUAAAGAACUCAAAAAACAUAAUACCGAAAAAAAAGCAAAUAACCAAGUUAAUAAAUGGAUAGAUAAUCUAAAACAUACCUUUCUCAGAAGAAAAAAAUACAAGUGCUCAACAAAUAUAUAAAAAAAAGUGUUCAGCAUCUUUAGCAAUUAAGGAAAUACAAAUCAAAACUAUACCGAGAUUUCAUUUCAUUCCAGUUAGAAUGGCAGUCAUCAAGAAUAUGAAAAAUAAAAAAUGCUAAAGAGGAUGUGGACAAUAAGGAGCACUUUUACACUGUUGGUGGAAUUGUAAAUUAGACAACAACUAUAGAAAUAAGACUUAAAUGACUAAGAAUGGAACUAUCAUUUGACCCAGCUAUACCAAUUUUGGGUCUUUAUCCUAAAGAACUAAAGUCAUGCAUAUUAAUGACAGCAGCAAUUCAAAUAGCCAAACUAUGGAACCAGUCUAGGUAUCUGUCAGUGAAUAAAUUGAUUUUUUAAAAAAAUGCACUGUAUAUACACAAUGAACUUUUAUUUGGUUAUAAAGAAGAAUGAAAUUAUGUCAUUUUUAGAGGAAAUGGUGAAAUUUGAAAACAUUCUGUUAAUCAAAAUAAGCCAAAUUCAGAAUGUCAAGGAUUGUAUAUUUUCUCAUAUGUGGGAGCUAAAGAGGAAAAAGGGGAAGUGUGUUUGUGUGUGUUGCAGGGGGUCUCAUGAGAAUUGAAGGAAGAUCAGUAGGGUCAAGGAAAGGGAAUGGGGAAGAAGGAGAGGAAGAAAAAAGGAAAUAUUGUGGAAUGAUGUUACCCAAACCAUAUUCUGUGUUUGCACAAAUAUGUAACAAUGAAUCCCACCAUUAUGUAUAACUAUAAUUUCAAUAAAAAUGGAAAAACAUAAAGUCAUUGUUUUCUAAUUUGAAAAAAGAAAAUGUUGCUCAUGCAUCUUGCUUAAUUGCCAAAAUAAUAAUUUAAGAGACAGGGCUAGGGUUGUGGCUCAACAGUAGAGCACUGGCCUAGCACAUGCAAGGCCCUGGGUUCGAU